rnacentral:rRNA from 1 species
AGUGAACGCUGGCGGUAGGCCUAACACAUGCAAGUCGAACGGCAGCACAGUAAGAGCUUGCUCUUACGGGUGGCGAGUGGCGGACGGGUGAGGAAUACAUCGGAAUCUACUUUUUCGUGUGGGAUAACGUAGGGAAACUUACGCUAAUACCGCAUACGACCUACGGGUGAAAGUAGGGGAUCUUCGGACCUUGCGCGAUUGAAUGAGCCGAUGUCGGAUUAGCUAGUUGGCGGGGUAAAGGCCCACCAAGGCGACGAUCCGUAGCUGGUCUGAGGGGUUGAUAGGGCAAACGGAAAGUGAGACACGGCACAGAGACUAAGGGGAGGCAGAGAGGGGGAAUAUUGGAAAAUGGGCGAAAGACUGAACCAGCCAUACCGGGGGGGUGAAGAAGGCCUUCGGGUUGUAAAGCCUUUUUGUUGGAAAAAAAAAGCAGCAGGUUAAAACCCCGCUGUUCGAAGGGAACCAAAAAAAAAAGAACCGGCAAACUUGUG